rnacentral:rRNA from 1 species
CUUGACCUCAGAUCAGACAAGGCUACCCGCUGAAUUUAAGCAUAUUAAUAAGCGGAGGAAAAGAAACUAACAAGGAUUCCCCUAGUAACGGCGAGUGAAGCGGGAUCAGCUCAAAUUUAAAAUCUCCGUUGCUUGCAACGGCGAAUUGUAGUUUCGAGAAGCGCUUUCUAGGCGGACCGACCGCGCCUAAGUUGCUUGGAACAGCACGUCAUAGAGGGUGACAACCCCGUCUGUGGCGAGGCCGGCCGCUGUCGAUGUGCUUUCAAAGAGUCGGGUUGUUUGGGAAUGCAGCCCAAAAUGGGUGGUAAACUCCAUCUAAAGCUAAAUAUUGGCACGAGACCGAUAGCGAACAAGUACCGUGAGGGAAAGAUGAAAAGGACUUUGGAAAGAGAGUUAAAAAGUACGUGAAACCGUUAAAAGGGAAACGAAUGGAGCUAGCAAUGCGCCCUGUGAGAUUCAGCCGGCCGGUGGUCCAGGCGCGUGGCUUGCAGAUCUGAAUUGACUGCGGCCGCGUGGUUUGGGCUCCCGACCGUCGCACUUCUUGCGGGCGCGCGUCAACAUGGGUUGGGAGUGGGUCUGAAAGGCACCGGGAAGGUAGGUCCGACCCCUCGGGGCUGGUCUGUUAUAGUCCGGUGUUCUCAUGGCUCGCGCCCGACCGAGGAGUUGCAGCACAUGCCUCUUGUGGCUGGGGUCCCGUCGUUCCGGUUGGUUGUCGACGGCGGUGGACUGCGUGCAGUGCACCGCGACUGCUGCCGGUCGCUACGGUGGUGACUUCGCACCAUGUGCUCAGGAUGUUGGCGGUCAUAUGGCUUCAUCCGACCCGUCUUGAAACACGGACCAAGGAGUCUAACAUGUGCGCGAGUCUUAGGGUGAUUGAAA